rnacentral:rRNA from 1 species
GAUGAACGCUGGCGGCGUGCCUAAUACAUGCAAGUCGAGCGAACAGACGAGGAGCUUGCUCCUCUGACGUUAGCGGCGGACGGGUGAGUAACACGUGGAUAACCUACCUAUAAGACUGGGAUAACUUCGGGAAACCGGAGCUAAUACCGGAUAAUAUAUUGAACCGCAUGGUUCAAUAGUGAAAGACGGUUUUGCUGUCACUUAUAGAUGGAUCCGCGCCGCAUUAGCUAGUUGGUAAGGUAACGGCUUACCAAGGCAACGAUGCGUAGCCGACCUGAGAGGGUGAGAGGCCACACUGGAACUGAGACACGGUCCAGACUCCUACGGAGGGCACGAGUGGGGAAUCUUCGAAAAGGGGAGAAAGCCGGAGCGAGCCACGCCGCGGGGGUGAAAAGGGUUUUCGGAUCGUAAAACUCUUUUAUUGGGAAAGAAAAUAUGUGUAAGAAACAACCCCUGUCCGGACGGUACCUAAAAAAAAAGCCCGGGCUAACUUCGGG